ACCAGUUCAUGACAUACUGGCAGUGGCAUUUUACUCAGGAAACCAUAUCAUGGUGGCACGUCAGGAGACAGCAGAAGUCUUUUUAGCAAGAAGAUGAACUUCUCUUGCAAAAACAUCAGCAGUCCUGUGAGGAAAGGGCCUAAAUUUAACGAAUCCAGAAUUUCUGUUUCCAUAUAAGUACCGCAAUGUCCAAGUAGUUGGUUGAGGGUGAGAGUGCGAAGGCUCUUUGCUGGUGCCGGUUCAUAAAGAGUUUGCUGUACAUUGUGUCUGUUCUAAUCGUAGAAUUAUACAGUACAGAAGAGGCCCUUUGGUCCAUCAGGUUUUAACAAGCUUUUUUUGUGCUCGUUGCCAAGGAAACUCAGCAAUUCAUUAUCUCAGCUCCAGUGGGUCUAACAAGUCAUCAGCGCCUAUCAGGCGAGUGAACACUGCAUUAGUUAUACUGUUGGGAAGAGACUGGUUGGUUUUGUUGACAAUUUAACUGGCGGUUCUCUGAAUGAAAUAGGAGUUAGAGAUGCGAUCCUUUCACUUUCUGUGACUGCAA